rfam:Cucumis sativus cultivar 9930 chromosome 5, whole genome shotgun sequence.
UUGCCUUAAACUAAUGAGUAAGGAAAACAAAGUGGCCGGGGGGAUCCGGCCGCAGCGCUACCUAAGUUGAUGCGCAUGAAUUUGUGGAGGGGUUAAAGGCUUGGCCGAUUGUUGACGCUGCUUACUUUGCAGAACUCUUUCGUGCUGGCCUCCC